AACCCAUGAUGAGGACACUGCUUCAAUAAACUUUAGAAUCUCUCUCAUGCUUUGAAUAGUGAUUCUUCUUCUAUCUGAGCAAAGGUCAUGAUUUGGUUUCUCAUGAAU